AGAGUUUGAUCAUGGCUCAGGAUGAACGCUAGCGGCAGGCCUAAUACAUGCAAGUCGAACGGGAGCUCCCCUCGGGGGAGUGAGAGUGGCGCACGGGUGCGUAACGCGUAUGCAACCAACCCCUUUCCGGGGGACAGCCGGUGGAAACGCCGGGUAAUACCCCAUGGCGAUCCGUCUGGGCAUCCAGAAGGAUUGAAAGAUUUCGGUCGGAAAGGGACGGGCAUGCGUCCCAUUAGCUAGUUGGCGGGGCGACGGCCCACCAAGGCGACGAUGGGUAGGGGAUCUGAGAGGACGGUCCCCCACACUGGUACUGAGACACGGACCAGACUCCUACGGGAGGCAGCAGUAAGGAAUAUUGGGCAAUGGGGGGAACCCUGACCCAGCCAUGCCGCGUGAGGGAAGUAAGGCCCUACGGGUCGUGAACCUCUUUUGUCCAGGGACAAGGCGCGCCACUUGAUGGCGCGUUGAGGGUACUGGAAGAAUAAGCAUCGGCUAACUCCGUGCCAGCAGCAGC
rnacentral:rRNA from 1 species